GACGAACGCUGGCGGCGUGCCUAAUACAUGCAAGUCGAGCGGACUUUCAAGAAGCUUGCUUUUUGAAAGUUAGCGGCGGACGGGUGAGUAACACGUGGGCAACCUGCCUGCAAGACGGGGAUAACUCCGGGAAACCGGGGCUAAUACCGGAUAAUAUCUUCCUUCGCAUGAAGGAAGGUUGAAAGGCGGCGCAAGCUGCCGCUUGCAGAUGGGCCCGCGGCGCAUUAGCUAGUUGGUGAGGUAACGGCUCACCAAGGCGACGAUGCGUAGCCGACCUGAGAUGGUGAUCGGCCACACUGGGACUGAGACACGGCCCAGACUCCUACGGGAGGCAGCAGUAGGGAAUCUUCCGCAAUGGACGAAAGUCUGACGGAGCAACGCCGCGUGAGCGAAGAAGGUCUUCGGAUCGUAAAGCUCUGUUGUCAGGGAAGAACAAGUACCGUUCGAACAGGGCGGUACCUUGACGGUACCUGACCAGAAAGCCACGGCUAACUACGUG
rnacentral:rRNA from 1 species